rnacentral:rRNA from 1 species
ACACGUAGGGGGCGAGCGUUGUUCGGAAUCAUUGGGCGUAAAGGGCGCGCAGGCGGCGAGGCAAGUCCGGUGUGAAAGUGCUCGGCUCAACCGAGUGAUGCGCUGGAAACUGCCCUGCUUGAGUACAGGAGGGGACGUCGGAAUUCCAGGGGUAGGGGUGAAAUCUGUAGAUAUCUGGAAGAACACCGGUGGCGAAGGCGGACGUCUGGCCAUGUACUGACGCUGAGGCGCGAAGGUGCGGGGAGCGAACAGGUUUAGAUACCCUGGUAGUCCGCACAGUAAACGAUGUGCACCAGGUGGCGGGGGGUAGCCCUCGGUACCGAAGCCAACGCAUUAAGUGCACCGCCUGGGGAGUAUGCUCGCAAGGGUGAAACUCAAAUGAAUUGGCGGGG